AUUGAACGCUGGCGGCAGGCUUAACACAUGCAAGUCGAACGGUAGCAGGAGAAAGCUUGCUUUCUUGCUGACGAGUGGCGGACGGGUGAGUAAUGCUUGGGAAUCUGGCUUAUGGAGGGGGAUAACUACGGGAAACUGCAGCUAAUACCGCGUAGAAUCGGGAGAUGAAAGUGCGGGACCGCAAGGCCGCAUGCCAUGAGAUGAGCCCAAGUGGGAUUAGGUAGUUGGUGGGGUAAAGGCCUACCAAGCCUGCGAUCUCUAGCUGGUCUGAGAGGAUGGCCAGCCACACUGGAACUGAGACACGGUCCAGACUCCUACGGGAGGCAGCAGUGGGGAAUAUUGCGCAAUGGGGGGAACCCUGACGCAGCCAUGCCGCGUGAAUGAAGAAGGCCUUCGGGUUGUAAAGUUCUUUCGGUAUUGAGGAAGGAGUGUAUGUUAAUAGCAUACAUUAUUGACGUUAAAUACAGAAGAAGCACCGGCUAACUCCGUGCCAGCAGCCGCGGUAAUACGGAGGGUGCGAGCGUUAAUCGGAAUAACUGGGCGUAAAGGGCACGCAGGCGGUUAUUUAAGUGAGGUGUGAAAGCCCCGGGCUUAACCUGGGAAUUGCAUUUCAGACUGGGUAACUAGAGUACUUUAGGGAGGGGUAGAAUUCCACGUGUAGCGGUGAAAUGCGUAGAGAUGUGGAGGAAUACCGAAGGCGAAGGCAGCCCCUUGGGAAUGUACUGACGCUCAUGUGCGAAAGCGUGGGGAGCAAACAGGAUUAGAUACCCUGGUAGUCCACGCUGUAAACGCUGUCGAUUUGGGGAUUGGGCUUAAAGCUUGGUGCCCGUAGCUAACGUGAUAAAUCGACCGCCUGGGGAGUACGGCCGCAAGGUUAAAACUCAAAUGAAUUGACGGGGGCCCGCACAAGCGGUGGAGCAUGUGGUUUAAUUCGAUGCAACGCGAAGAACCUUACCUACUCUUGACAUCCAUGGAAUCCUGUAGAGAUACGGGAGUGCCUUCGGGAACCAUGAGACAGGUGCUGCAUGGCUGUCGUCAGCUCGUGUUGUGAAAUGUUGGGUUAAGUCCCGCAACGAGCGCAACCCUUAUCCUUUGUUGCCAGCGAUUUGGUCGGGAACUCAAAGGAGACUGCCAGUGAUAAACUGGAGGAAGGUGGGGAUGACGUCAAGUCAUCAUGGGCCUUACGAGUAAGGCUACACACGUGCUACAAUGGCGUAUACAGAGGGGGGCGAAACUGCGAAGUGGAAGCGAAUCUCAAAAAGUACGUCUAAAUCCCGAAUUGGAGCCUGCAACUCACCUCCAUGAAGUCGGAAUCGCUAGUAAUCGCGAAUCAAAAAGGCCCGGGGGAAUACCUUCCCGGGCUC
rnacentral:rRNA from 1 species